UAAUCAGGCAGCCCAGCGGUCCCUUCAAACCGAGGCAGGCAAGCUCUACGUCUUGGGGGCCGCAUGGUGCCGAGAGCGCAAACCAGACCCGCCCCGCCCCUCCGUGCCACGCACGCGCUCGGCUCCGCGCUUAAUGAGUGUCAGGCCUCUGAGCCCAAGCUAAGCCAUCAUAUCCCCUGUGACCUGCAUGUAUGCAUCCAGGUGGCCUGAAGUAACUGAAGAAUCACAAAAGAGGUGAAAAUGGCCUGUUCCUGCCUUAACUGAUGACAUUACCUUGUGAAAUUCCUUCUCUUGGCUCAUCCUGGCUCAAAAACUCCCCCACUGAGCACCUUGUGACCCCCGCCCCUGCCUACCAGAGAACCCCCUUUGACUGUAAUUUCCCACUACCUACCCAAAUCCUAUAAAACGGCCCCACCCCUAUCUCCCUUCGCUGACUCUCCUUUCGGACUCAGCCCACCUGCACCCAGGUGAAAUAAACAGCCUUGUUGCUCACACAAAA
rnacentral:lncRNA from 1 species